GGCUUCGUGGCCCAAUGGCAAGGCGUCUGACUACGACGAGGAUCCUUUAAGAUUACCUAAACCGAAAAGGAUCCCCGAGCGAAAAAAUCAGGAGAUUCUGGGUUCGACCCCCAGCGAGGUCA